rnacentral:rRNA from 1 species
GGGUUGUGAGGUUAAGCGACUAAGCGUACACGGUGGAUGCCCUGGCAGUCAGAGGCGAUGAAGGACGUGCUAAUCUGCGAUAAGCGUCGGUAAGGUGAUAUGAACCGUUAUAACCGGCGAUUUCCGAAUGGGGAAACCCAGUGUGUUUCGACACACUAUCAUUAACUGAAUCCAUAGGUUAAUGAGGCGAACCGGGGGAACUGAAACAUCUAAGUACCCCGAGGAAAAGAAAUCAACCGAGAUUCCCCCAGUAGCGGCGAGCGAACGGGGAGCAGCCCAGAGCCUGAAUCAGUGUGUGUGUUAGUGGAAGCGUCUGGAAAGGCGCGCGAUACAGGGUGACAGCCCCGUACACAAAAAUGCACAUGCUGUGAGCUCGAUGAGUAGGGCGGGACACGUGGUAUCCUGUCUGAAUAUGGGGGGACCAUCCUCCAAGGCUAAAUACUCCUGACUGACCGAUAGUGAACCAGUACCGUGAGGGAAAGGCGAAAAGAACCCCGGCGAGGGGAGUGAAAAAGAACCUGAAACCGUGUACGUACAAGCAGUGGGAGCACGCUUCGGCGUGUGACUGCGUACCUUUUGUAUAAUGGGUCAGCGACUUAUAUUCUGUAGCAAGGUUAACCGAAUAGGGGAGCCGAAGGGAAACCGAGUCUUAACUGGGCGUUAAGUUGCAGGGUAUAGACCCGAAACCCGGUGAUCUAGCCAUGGGCAGGUUGAAGGUUGGGUAACACUAACUGGAGGACCGAACCGACUAAUGUUGAAAAAUUAGCGGAUGACUUGUGGCUGGGGGUGAAAGGCCAAUCAAACCGGGAGAUAGCUGGUUCUCCCCGAAAGCUAUUUAGGUAGCGCCUCGUGAAUUCAUCUCCGGGGGUAGAGCACUGUUUCGGCAAGGGGGUCAUCCCGACUUACCAACCCGAUGCAAACUGCGAAUACCGGAGAAUGUUAUCACGGGAGACACACGGCGGGUGCUAACGUCCGUCGUGAAGAGGGAAACAACCCAGACCGCCAGCUAAGGUCCCAAAGUCAUGGUUAAGUGGGAAACGAUGUGGGAAGGCCCAGACAGCCAGGAUGUUGGCUUAGAAGCAGCCAUCAUUUAAAGAAAGCGUAAUAGCUCACUGGUCGAGUCGGCCUGCGCGGAAGAUGUAACGGGGCUAAACCAUGCACCGAAGCUGCGGCAGCGACGCUGAUGCGUUGUUGGGUAGGGGAGCGUUCUGUAAGCCUGCGAAGGUGUGCUGUGAGGCAUGCUGGAGGUAUCAGAAGUGCGAAUGCUGACAUAAGUAACGAUAAAGCGGGUGAAAAGCCCGCUCGCCGGAAGACCAAGGGUUCCUGUCCAACGUUAAUCGGGGCAGGGUGAGUCGACCCCUAAGGCGAGGCCGAAAGGCGUAGUCGAUGGGAAACAGGUUAAUAUUCCUGUACUUGGUGUUACUGCGAAGGGGGGACGGAGAAGGCUAUGUUGGCCGGGCGACGGUUGUCCCGGUUUAAGCGUGUAGGCUGGUUUUCCAGGCAAAUCCGGAAAAUCAAGGCUGAGGCGUGAUGACGAGGCACUACGGUGCUGAAGCAACAAAUGCCCUGCUUCCAGGAAAAGCCUCUAAGCAUCAGGUAACAUCAAAUCGUACCCCAAACCGACACAGGUGGUCAGGUAGAGAAUACCAAGGCGCUUGAGAGAACUCGGGUGAAGGAACUAGGCAAAAUGGUGCCGUAACUUCGGGAGAAGGCACGCUGAUAUGUAGGUGAGGUCCCUCGCGGAUGGAGCUGAAAUCAGUCGAAGAUACCAGCUGGCUGCAACUGUUUAUUAAAAACACAGCACUGUGCAAACACGAAAGUGGACGUAUACGGUGUGACGCCUGCCCGGUGCCGGAAGGUUAAUUGAUGGGGUUAGCGCAAGCGAAGCUCUUGAUCGAAGCCCCGGUAAACGGCGGCCGUAACUAUAACGGUCCUAAGGUAGCGAAAUUCCUUGUCGGGUAAGUUCCGACCUGCACGAAUGGCGUAAUGAUGGCCAGGCUGUCUCCACCCGAGACUCAGUGAAAUUGAACUCGCUGUGAAGAUGCAGUGUACCCGCGGCAAGACGGAAAGACCCCGUGAACCUUUACUAUAGCUUGACACUGAACAUUGAGCCUUGAUGUGUAGGAUAGGUGGGAGGCUUAGAAGUGUGGACGCCAGUCUGCAUGGAGCCGACCUUGAAAUACCACCCUUUAAUGUUUGAUGUUCUAACGUGGACCCGUAAUCCGGGUUGCGGACAGUGUCUGGUGGGUAGUUUGACUGGGGCGGUCUCCUCCUAAAGAGUAACGGAGGAGCACGAAGGUUGGCUAAUCCUGGUCGGACAUCAGGAGGUUAGUGCAAUGGCAUAAGCCAGCUUGACUGCGAGCGUGACGGCGCGAGCAGGUGCGAAAGCAGGUCAUAGUGAUCCGGUGGUUCUGAAUGGAAGGGCCAUCGCUCAACGGAUAAAAGGUACUCCGGGGAUAACAGGCUGAUACCGCCCAAGAGUUCAUAUCGACGGCGGUGUUUGGCACCUCGAUGUCGGCUCAUCACAUCCUGGGGCUGAAGUAGGUCCCAAGGGUAUGGCUGUUCGCCAUUUAAAGUGGUACGCGAGCUGGGUUUAGAACGUCGUGAGACAGUUCGGUCCCUAUCUGCCGUGGGCGCUGGAGAACUGAGGGGGGCUGCUCCUAGUACGAGAGGACCGGAGUGGACGCAUCACUGGUGUUCGGGUUGUCAUGCCAAUGGCACUGCCCGGUAGCUAAAUGCGGAAGAGAUAAGUGCUGAAAGCAUCUAAGCACGAAACUUGCCCCGAGAUGAGUUCUCCCUGACUCCUUGAGAGUCCUGAAGGAACGUUGAAGACGACGACGUUGAUAGGCCGGGUGUGUAAGCGCAGCGAUGCGUUGAGCUAACCGGUACUAAUGAACCGUGAGGCUUAACCUUACAACGCCGAAG